rnacentral:rRNA from 1 species
UACGAAGGGGGCUAGCGUUGUUCGGAUUUACUGGGCGUAAAGCGCACGUAGGCGGAUCGUUAAGUCGGGGGUGAAAUCCUGGAGCUCAACUCCAGAACUGCCUUCGAUACUGGCGAUCUUGAGUCCGGAAGAGGUGAGUGGAACUCCUAGUGUAGAGGUGGAAUUCGUAGAUAUCAGGAGGAACACCGGGUGGCGGAAGGCGGCUUCCUGGACACUUACUGACGCUGAGACGCGAAAGCGUGGGGAGCAAACAGG